UGGGGAAUUUUGGACAAUGGGCGAAAGCCUGAUCCAGCAAUGCCGCGUGUGUGAAGAAGGCCUUCGGGUUGUAAAGCACUUUUGUCCGGAAAGAAAUCCUUGGCUCUAAUACAGUCGGGGGAUGACGGUACCGGAAGAAUAAGCACCGGCUAACUACGUGCCAGCAGCCGCGGUAAUACGUAGGGUGCAAGCGUUAAUCGGAAUUACUGGGCGUAAAGCGUGCGCAGGCGGUUUGCUAAGACCGAUGUGAAAUCCCCGGGCUCAACCUGGGAACUGCAUUGGUGACUGGCAGGCUAGAGUAUGGCAGAGGGGGGUAGAAUUCCACGUGUAGCAGUGAAAUGCGUAGAGAUGUGGAGGAAUACCGAUGGCGAAGGCAGCCCCCUGGGCCAAUACUGACGCUCAUGCACGAAAGCGUGGGGGAGCAAACAGGAUUAGAUACCCUGGUAGUCCACGCCCUAAACGAUGUCAACUAGUUGUUGGGGAUUCAUUUCCUUAGUAACGUAGCUAACGCGUGAAGUUGACCGCCUGGGGGAGUACGGUCGCAAGAUUAAAACUUAAAGGAAUUGACGGGGUCAUAGCUGUUUCCU
rnacentral:rRNA from 1 species